UACGAAGGGGGCUAGCGUUGCUCGGAAUGACUGGGCGUAAAGGGCGCGUAGGUGGCGCGACAAGUCAGUGGUGAAAGUUCGACGCUCAACGUCGAAUCGGCCACUGAUACUGUUGGGCUUGAGCACUGUAGAGGCUAAUGGAAUUCCGGGUGUAGCGGUGGAAUGCGUAGAGAUCGGGAGGAACACCAGUGGCGAAGGCGGCUACCUGGACCAGCACUGACACUGAGGCACGAAAGCGUGGGGAGCAAACAGG
rnacentral:rRNA from 1 species